UGUACCAUGGUGCAGGGCUUAUUUCUUUCAUUUUCUUUAAUCGAAGUGGGGCGACAAUAUCAAGGGUGCUAGAGAAGACUGCAUUUAUAUUUUUUGUUAUUUCAUCAAGUUCUUCUGGGCUUCGGGGUUAUUGAGUAUAUGAGAUAGAUCUGGAAGAUUAUUAGCUAUCUUUAGUGGUUGAAAGAAUAGUUCUACCUGAACGAUAGCAUGGUCUAGAUUGAGUAACAUUAGCUGAUUGCAACAUACCAGAUAUGAUCCGAGAUGUCAUCACUCUGCUGCAGAAUUUCUAUAUUAUCAACAUCAACUCCAUAUGACAGAAUUAAAUCUAGCGUAUGAUUAUUGUGAUGAGUUGGUCCUGUUACAUUUUGUCUGACUAAAGAGAGUUGAGAAUAUCGAUUAAUGCUAAUCCCAUUGUAUCAUUUUCAUUAUCUAUGUGAAUGUUUUUACGGUGGCCGGGAAGUGCAAAGCAACAUCGAGUGAAGAGAGAUGAUGUGAUGAAUUUCCUCCGGGAGCUUAAUCCCCGAGGGUGUGAGAGCAGAGCACGCAGAAGGUUUACAAGAAGAACCUAUCACUCAAUGGGACCUAACUAUGUGGCACGCAGAUGGUUAUGACAAACUUAAGCCAUUCGGUUUGGCCAUUUCGGGAUGCAUAGAUGGAUUUUCACGUAAAGUAUUGUGGCUUGAAUGUGGACCAACAAAUAAUAACCCAACAGUGAUUGCUCACUAUUUCCUGUCAUGUGUGCGAAACCUCGGUGUCAUCCCCAUGAGACUGAGGACUGAUUGCGGCACUGAGAACGGCAUAAUGGCUGCAAUUCAAUGUACCCUACGGCACCAUCACAGUGACUACUACUCUGGAGCGUCCAGCCACAUGUACGGUUCAUCUAUAAAUAACCAGCGUAUUGAGUCCUGGUGGUCUAUAUUUAGAAAGGGAAGGUCUCAGUUCUGGAUGGAGUUAUUUGCAGACCUUAGAGAUGCUGGAUACUUCAACAGGAGUCAUGAGCAUCAGUGCCUAUUGAGAUAUUGCUUUGUUCCACAGUCUCCCAAGUCCUUCUGAAUAACAUCACCAGUCACAGGAUUCGCCCUUCCAGAACAGCAGCAUGUGCAGGUGGAGUGCCCAAUGAACUCUACUACUUACCACACAGGUUUGGCUCCAGAGACUGCGGAUUUCAAACGGAACAGGCUGAACUGGAUGCCCUUCCUGAGGCCAGCCUGUCAAUGACUCCUAGUGGGGACCCAAACAUGUCAAGUUAACACAAUCAGUUACAG